UUAGCGCACGGACCCUCAAAGCUUGGACGGCGCCGUUUUUGAACAUAGAAUUUAAAACCCUUUUUUUCCAUUUUUUUUCCAAAUGCUGCCAACCAAAGAACCACAGCCCCAAAAUUGAAAUUGCUAGUGGUCUUAACGUCCGCCGGAUUCACCAUUUCAUUUGGCAAUCGACGGUAUGCCCCAAUGAACAGAUCCAUGUCACGCCCAUGAAAAUAUGGAUCAUCCGUACGGAGGAGCAGGGAGAGGCACACGUGAAAGGAGCCAUACGAGGAAACUGUUCGUGAGACCCAACCCCCUGGCACUGUUCUGGCAUGUUCCAGAAGCUUCUGGUGCUUGGCUGCUGGGAUUCCUUUUGAGUUUGGGCUGUUCGGGCUAGGGAUUUUAGUAUAGCCCUCUUGGACUAUGUGAUUGGGUUAGGUUUGUAUUAAGGGGUUAAGGUUUAAGUUAUUUUUUGGUCCAAAUAUUUGUAACUGGGCACUGGAAUUUGGAUUUUUAUUUGUGUGUUUUUUUUAUUUUUGUUUUA